rnacentral:rRNA from 1 species
CCAACAGGGAUUGCCUCAGUAACGGCGAGUGAAGCGGCAACAGCUCAAAUUUGAAAGCUGCCUCCAGGCCGCGUUGUAAUUUGUAGAAGAUGCUUUGGGUGUUGGCCCGGUCUAAGUUCCUUGGAACAGGACGUCAUAGAGGGUGAGAAUCCCGUAUGUGACUGGUGCCCUCCCCCGUGUAAAGCUCUUUCGACGAGUCGAGUUGUUUGGGAAUGCAGCUCAAAAUGGGUGGUAAAUUUCAUCUAAAGCUAAAUAUUGGCCAGAGACCGAUAGCGCACAAGUAGAGUGAUCGAAAGAUGAAAAGCACUUUGGAAAGAGAGUUAAACAGUACGUGAAAUUGUUGAAAGGGAAGCGCUUGCAACCAGACUUGCGCGCUAUCGAUCAUCCGAAGUUCUCUUCGGUGCACUCGAUGGUGUUCAGGCCAGCAUCGGUUUCGGUGGUGGGAUAAAGGCCGUGGGAAUGUGGCUCUUCGGAGUGUUAUAGCCCACGGUGCAAUGCUACCUACCGGGACCGAGGACCGCGCUUCGGCUAGGAUGCUGGCGUAAUGGUUGUAAGCGACCCGUCUUGAAACACGGACCAAGGAGUCUAACAUCUAUGCGAGUGUUUGGGUGUCAAACCCAUCCGCGUAAUGAAAGUGAACGGAGGUGAGAACUCUCUAGGGUGCAUCAUCGACCGAUCCUGAUGUCUUCGGAUGGAUUUGAGUAAGAGCAUAGCUGUUGGGACCCGAAAGAUGGUGAACUAUGCGUGAAUAGGGUGAAGCCAGAGGAAACUCUGGUGGAGGCUCGCAGCGGUUCUGACGUGCAAAUCGAUCGUCAAAUUUGCGCAUAGGGGCGAAAGACUAAUCGAACCAUCCGUAUGGCAUCGUAACCUAGUUGAUGUACCUUUGCUAUAUCUACAGUUUGUUACAGCUGCUAGGUGGUUAAGAGAUGGCAGAAACAGUACGUCUAGUCCCUGACCAGGGGCAACACUCUCAAAUUGUUACGGGGACAUCCUGUCAGACUUCUAAGCUACCGCGGCCUAUCUCGAAAGAGGAGUUCGCACCAGGGUAACGACCUCGGGUAUGGUAACAACGCUUAGAUAGGGAUAAUCCGCAGCCAAGUCCUAAGGGUAGAAAUGCCUAUGGAUGCAGUUCACAGGCUAAAUGUGAGUGGGCCCUACUAGUAACAGUAGGGUCUAAGUUAUAGUCGGACCGCCGGGAGACCGGUCUGGUGGGUGAAAGUAUGCGAGGGUGGCACUGUUCCUACAGGCUUCGCAUACGAGAUCCUGCCGGGAACACUAACUUAAAAUGAUACGGGGUAGAGUCCUUUUUAAGUCUAAUUGUUUGGAAGAGAUGUUCAUAUGAGCUGUGUUCUUGAAUUGGAUACGUGACCAUGCUGGGUCGUCUUAUAAUAGAAGCAAUCGGAUGACACUCUGAAUC